rnacentral:rRNA from 1 species
AGUGAACGCUGGUGGUAGGCCUAACACAUGCAAGUCGAACGGCAGCACAGUAAGAGCUUGCUCUUACGGGUGGCGAGUGGCGGACGGGUGAGGAAUACAUCGGAAUCUACUUUUUCGUGGGGGAUAACGUAGGGAAACUUACGCUAAUACUGCAUACGACCUACGGGUGAAGGCAGGGGAUCUUCGGACCUUGCGCGAUUGAAUGAGCCGAUGUCGGAUUAGCUAGUUGGCGGGGUAAAGGCCCACCAAGGCGACGAUCCGUAGCUGGUCUGAGAGGAUGAUCAGCCACACUGGAACUGAGACACGGUCCAGACUCCUACGGGAGGCAGCAGUGGGGAAUAUUGGACAAUGGGCGCAAGCCUGAUCCAGCCAUACCGCGUGGGUGAAGAAGGCCUUCGGGUUGUAAAGCCCUUUUGUUGGGAAAGAAAAGCAGCAGGUUAAUACCCCGCUGUUCUGACGGUACCCAAAGAAUAAGCACCGGCUAACUUCGUG